CAGCCGCCGCGGUAAUACGUAGGGUGCGAGCGUUAAUCGGAAUUACUGGGCGUAAAGCGUGCGCAGGCGGUUCGUUAAGACAGAUGUGAAAUCCCCGGGCUUAACCUGGGAACUGCAUUUGUGACUGGCGAGCUAGAGUAUGGCAGAGGGGGGUAGAAUUCCACGUGUAGCAGUGAAAUGCGUAGAGAUGUGGAGGAAUACCGAUGGCGAAGGCAGCCCCCUGGGCCAAUACUGACGCUCAUGCACGAAAGCGUGGGGAGCAAACAGGAUUAGAUACUCCCGUAGUCCCUGUCUCUUAUAC
rnacentral:rRNA from 1 species